GAUGAACGCUGGCGGCGUGCCUAAUACAUGCAAGUCGAACGCUUUGUCUUUAAUUGAUCUGAAGAGCUUGCUCUGAUUUGAUUUUAUCUGACAAAGAGUGGCGAACGGGUGAGUAACACGUGGGUAACCUACCUCUUAGCAGGGGAUAACAUUUGGAAACAAGUGCUAAUACCGUAUAACACUAACAACCGCAUGGUUGUUAGUUGAAAGAUGGUUCUGCUAUCACUAAGAGAUGGACCCGCGGUGCAUUAGCUAGUUGGUAAGGUAAUGGCUUACCAAGGCGAUGAUGCGUAGCCGAGUUGAGAGACUGAUCGGCCACAAUGGGACUGAGACACGGCCCAUACUCCUACGGGAGGCAGCAGUAGGGAAUCUUCCACAAUGGGCGCAAGCCUGAUGGAGCAACGCCGCGUGUGUGAUGAAGGGUUUCGGCUCGUAAAACACUGUUAUAAGAGAAGAACGACAUUGAGAGUAACUGUUCAGUGUGUGACGGUAUCUUAUCAGAAAGGAACGGCUAAAUACGUG
rnacentral:rRNA from 1 species